rnacentral:rRNA from 1 species
UACGUAGGUGGCAAGCGUUGUCCGGAAUUAUUGGGCGUAAAGCGCGCGCAGGCGGUUCUUCAAGUCAGAGGUGAAAGCCCAGAGCUCAACUCUGGAAUGGCCUUUGAGACUAGAGAACUAGGGUACGGGAGAGGUGAGUGGAAUUCCGAGUGUAGAGGUGAAAUUCGUAGAUAUUCGGAAGAACACCAGUGGCGAAGGCGGCUCACUGGCCCGUUACCGACGCUCAGGCGCGACAGCGUGGGGAGCAAACAGG